rnacentral:lncRNA from 1 species
UUUGUUCCUGUUUUAGAUCAACUUUGACAUGCCUUUUUGGAUGUUUAUGUUAAUUUGCUGGGUAAAGCUUUAAUCUGAGUGAUUUAUUUUGUUGUUUUGCAGUUCCUUAAGAGCUUUUGGAAAGUGCUUUUAAAAUAAGCUGCUUUUGUUCUCUGCAUAUUACAACUUUGGAAGUGACUUGAUGAAGGUGGCUUGUAAGAAAUGCCAAACUUGGAGGCGCCAACUUUUGGUCACCAACAACACUCUUUUUUAUUUAAUUAGAAAAUGUAAUUAUUUAAGGUUUUCUUUUAAGACAAAUGUGUAUAUUUGGAUUUAUCUGUAACUUAUUGAAUUACAAGUCUAAUAGCAAUUGUAACUUGUUGGAUUUGGGAAAGAAUUGAAUUAUUAAAGUGUAUUUUCUAUUAUUUGGAAUUUUGUUUGGAUUAUUAUUUAUUUGUGCAAUUGGUCUCUUUUUUUUU